UUACUUACCUGGCGGAGGCGAUACUAUGAUCAUGAAGGUGGUUCACCCAGGGCAAGGCUCUGCUAUUGCACUUCGGUGGCGCUGACCCUUGCAAAUUCCAAAGAUGCGGGAAUCUCGAUGGCAUCAUUUCUGGUAGUGGGAGACUGCAGUCACACUCUCCCC
ensembl:snRNA U1 U1 spliceosomal RNA